AAUAAAAGGGUCAGUUCUUGACCUAGCAUGCUUUCUCGUGUUCUGUUUCUUCUCUUUCGGAAUAUCAUUUUCCUCUUUCUCAUCAUCAGAGUCCAACUCCUCAAUAACAGGACCCCUAGACCUAGGCUGCUGGAAGGGGACAGAAGGUUGUUGGAAGGGGACAGAAGGCUGUUGGAAAGGGACAGAAAACUGUUGGAAAGGGACAGAAGACUGUUGUUCCAGAAAUCCAGUCAUGUGCGAGUCCAUGAAUGGAACUCCGCGAGGACCAAAAGGGGUCGAUCCAAACAUGCUUCCAAAUGGAUUUGUGAAGAAGGGAUCAUCAAACGGGUCUCUG
rnacentral:lncRNA from 1 species